rnacentral:lncRNA from 1 species
CACAGCAGAGAGCCCAGGACAGUGACGGGGAAGUGAGGAGCACAGGAUGGGCGUCACAUGUGCCUCUUCUGCUAGCCUCCUUCUAGCUCCGUGGUGACUCUAACACCACCUAACUGGAGCUCCAGGGAGCGAACCUGCCUCUGUUGGGAAAGGCCAGAGGCUCCUCUGUGCCCUGCCCUUGGGAGAACAGGUUAGAUCUACCUAGGGGCCCAGCACCCUGUAUCCUCCUCUCCCGGGGCAGGUGCUGGGGUGUUUCCGCUGCCGCAGAAGAUGCCAUGCCUGGCCUUGGGCUUGUGCGUUUGACGUCAAUGGUCUUGGCGGGCUGCACGCAGGCGCAUCUGAUCUCGGGAGGGCAGACCUGCAGCUGCCAGAGAGGUGGCCUCAGCCCCUCCUGUGGUCCCCAGAGGCUGAGCAGCUGCCUUGGCCAAGCGCUGUCACCCCUGCCAGAUACUGCCGGACACUGUAGGCCCUCAACGCCCUCAGAAAGCCACAGGAGGAGAAAGCAGCUCAACCCUACCUGGACCUCAGCUUCUAGCAGGAGUUGUCAGUGUAUUGUAAUCCCAAACACGAAUAUUGUAAUCCAAGUACUGUAAUCCUUUUUUGGUCUUCCUCACAACUCAAAAAUUUUAUAUUUGUAAUCCCACUGGAAAGUUAUUGGAAUCCGAGCAAGUUAAUUCCAAUCCACCACCUCCAAAGCGACCCACAGCAUGAGGGAAGACAGCAAGAUAUUUGCAGAGUUAAGGGCAGCCAAGGGUUCCUGAGUCCAAUCCCUGUGAGGCUGUGUGGACCGAGGCUCUCAGGAUUUACUAUCCUGUGAAGAAGGGCGUAGCUCGAGGAUGAGCCACUGUAAGGAUGGCAGGAACUCCGAGAGUAACCUGAGCUGGCCAGGUGGGGAGAAAAGCAUCUCUGCAAAGUGCAGGGAGAAAGACAUGGAGAAAGGUCAGUCUGCAUGACUCAAGAAAGGUAGCAACUGAGUGGUUUUGGGGGCUUUGCUUCCGUUUCUGACAUGUAAACUUCUGUGCGCUGGGGUGUCACAGCCUCUGUAUCCGAUCCUCACGCCCAGCUGACAUUCCCGGAGCUGACUGGCUCUGCCAUCCCGCCGCGCUCAGAUCUGGGGACACGUCUUUUACAGAGCAUGAGGAAACCCAAGUCCGUCAGAAUGGCCUCAGCCGGCCUUGGCUGCACUGCCUGGAGCCAACUGAAGAGAGAAAAAAACAGCACAGCCAGCUCAGUGUAAGGAAAUGAGCCGUGACUUGACUGACAGGGCAGCAAUCACUGCAUUGCCGGAGAGGCGCCCAGCUCGUCUUCUACACAGGUGGGCGUCCAUGCAGAGGCCACAGCCUUUCUGGGUGUGCAGAAGCCCAUUGCCCUUCCAUCAGCGUGCAUU